rnacentral:piRNA from 1 species
UGGCAUUGGGAAUGUUUACACAAGCCAGGA